CAACUCUGCUAAGUCCUCGCACAGACGGGGAGAUUCUUCUUCUUCUUCUUCUUGUACUUGCAGCUAGCGAAGGAAAGCGUAUCCCUCUUGACCCCUAUUUCUCUUGCCUUUCCCUUCCUGGGCUUCAAAUCCCCUGCAACGCGAUCCACCCAGCUCGCCAGAUAUUGAUGAGCCCGUGUUCACCGGAAAAUGACGUCAGACCGACUUCGACGUCAGCGGCUCCGAGGAGGAAACCUUCGUGGAGAGAGCGAGAGAAUAAUAGAAGGAGAGAGAGGAGGAGAAGAGCCAUAGCUGCUAAGAUUUUUUCAGGGUUAAGAGCUCAAGGGAAUUACAAUUUGCCCAAACACUACGAUAAUAAUGAGGUCUUGAAGGCUUUGUGCAUCGAGGCUGGUUGGGUCGUUGAAGAUGAUGGCACCACCUACCGAAAGGGAUGCAAGCCACCCCCAAUUGAUAUUGUAGGCACCUCUGCGAGAAUUCCUCCGUACUCUUCACAAAAUCCAAGUCCAUUAUCUUCAUCAUUCCCUAGUCCAAUUCCUUCCUACCAAGUUAGUCCCUCUUCCUCUUCGUUCCCUAGCCCGUCUCGAGUUGAGAAUAAUGCUUCAUCUAAUCUCCUUCCCUUCCUCCAAAAUGCGAUUCCCUCGUCUCUCCCUUCUCUCCGAAUCUCCAACAGUGCACCUGUA
rnacentral:misc_RNA from 1 species